rnacentral:rRNA from 1 species
GAUGAACGCUGGCGGCGUGCCUAACACAUGCAAGUCGAGCGAACGGACGAGUAGCUUUUUUCUCUGAUGUUAGCGGCGGACGGGUGAGUAAUACGUGGAUAACCUACUUCUCAGUCUUGGUUAAUUACGGGAAGCCGUAGCUACUACUACAUAAUAUUUUGAACCGCUUGGUUCAAGAGUGUAAGACGGUUUUUCUGUCACUUAUAGAUGGAUCCGCGCUGCAUUAGCUAGUUGGUAAGGUAACGGCUUACCAAGGCAACGAUGCAUAGCCGACCUGAGAGGAGGAUCGGCGACACUGGAAGUGAGACACGGUCCAGACGACUACGAGAGGCGGCAGUAGGGAAUAUUAGGCAAUGGGCGGAAGAAGGAUGAAGCAACGACGCGUGGGGGAUGAAGGUCGUCGGAGCGUAAAGAUCUGUUAUUGGGAAAGAAGAAAUGUGGAAGUAUAUGUGGAUGGGUUGACGGUAGCUAAACAAGAAGCGACGGCUAACUACGUG